rnacentral:rRNA from 1 species
CCUACGGGAGGCAGCAGUGGGGGAUAUUGCACAAUGGAGGAAACUCUGAUGCAGCGACGCCGCGUGAGGGAAGACGGUCUUCGGAUUGUAAACUGCUUUUAUAAGCGAGAAAUAUGAUGGUAACUUAUGAAUAAGGAUCGGCUAACUACGUGCCAGCAGCCGCGGUCAUACGUAGGAUCCGAGCAUUAUCCGGAGUGACUGGGUGUAAAGAGUUGCGUAGGUGGCAUAAUAAGUAGCUAGUGAAAUCUGGUGGCUCAACCAUUCAGACUAUUAGCUAAACUGUUAAGCUCGAGACCGUUAGGGGUAACUGGAAUUUCUAGUGUAGGAGUGAAAUCCGUAGAUAUUAGAAGGAACACCAAUAGCGUAGGCAGGUUACUGGGACGGUUCUGACACUAAGGCACGAAAGCGUAGGGAGCAAACGGGAUUAGAUACCCGUGUAGUC